rnacentral:sRNA from 12 species
CAAGAGGAUAUCUUACUAUUAUUACAACCCAAUGUAAUAUGAAUAUUCGUGUAUAGCGUAGCUUCUCUUAAUUAGAGGCAGUGAUAAUAUCAUGUAGGCGCAGAAAUGUAAGAACCUCUGG